rnacentral:rRNA from 1 species
AUUGAACGCUGGCGGCAGGCUUAACACAUGCAAGUCGAACGAGUGGCGGACGGGUGAGUAAUGCUUGGGAAUCUAGCUUAUGGAGGGGGAUAACUACGGGAAACUGUAGCUAAAACCGCGUACAAUAGGAUGGGCCCAAGUGGGAUUAGGUAGUUGGUGAGGUAAAGGCUGACCAAGACGACGAUCUCUAGCUGGUCUGAGAGGAUGACCAGCCACACUGGGACUGAGACACGGCCCAGACUCCUACGGGAGGCAGCAGUGUGGAAUAUUGCGCAAUGGGGGCAACCUGACGCAGCCAUGCCGCGUGAAUGAAGAAGGCCUUCGGGUUGUAAAGUUCUUUCGGUAGCGAGGCGUUAACUACAGAAGAAGCACCGGCUAACUCCGUGCCAGCAGCCGCGGUAAUAC